UUUCCGUAGGUGAACCUGCGGAAGGAUCAUUACCGAAUGUCCUGCACCUUCUUGUAGCAGACCAUCGAUCGGAUUGGACCACAUCCGACAUUCUCCCGGCAGGCUCUGCCCUUGCGAAAUGACUUUGACACCAGUAUUGGUGGCCUGCAUUCGUGUCGGGUGGGAUAUGGAUGUGGGACAACGCUCGGGGCCGUUUGGUCUUGCUACUCCUACCAAACCAGUCAUUGCAUGGUCAGGUGGCACCCUAUUUCCUGGGUUGCCGCUCAAAUGUGUAAAACAUGAACAUAUAACUUUCAACAACGGAUCUCUUGGCUCUC
rnacentral:misc_RNA from 1 species